GACGAAGGGGGCUAGCGUUGUUCGGAAUUACUGGGCGUAAAGCGAGUGUAGGUGGUUGUUCAAGUUGGAUGUGAAAGCCUUGAGCUCAACUCAAGAAAUGCAUUCAGGACUGAGCGACUAGAGGACCGGAGAGGAUAGUGGAAUUCCCGGAGUAGUGGUGAAAUGCGUAGAGAUCGGGAGGAACACCGGUGGCGAAGGCGGCCAGCUGGCGCUGACCUGACGCUGAGGCGCGAAGGCAUGGGGAGCGAACGGG
rnacentral:rRNA from 1 species